UUGUUGCCAUGAGGAACCGAAGACAGACCCUAAAAUUCAUGGUGACCAUUUAUGCAUCACAGAAGAACAAGAGUUUCACAUGGUCUGCAUCAACGAAACAGUCGUUAGAACAGCUAUGGUUGUAUUCGUUCACGAUCACGGGGCAAUACCAGACGCUCCAGAAACCGAAACUUUGCGUUACACUGCCUAUAGGCAAUGGACAGCAUGGAUACAUGGAAAGCUUGGCAAGAAAUAUCGACUUCCUAUACCAUCCUGUGCUGUUAAAGAAAUAAGGAAAGCAUUUCCUUCACCUUCUGGCAUAUAUAAAGGCUUUGAAUAUGCACAGCAUUUAUAAAUACCUCUUGCAUUGCCUUGUAAAAGAAAUGUGUAUGCUUUGGUGCAUAUAGUAUAACAACUCGAUGAAAACCUUCAAGAGCUGAUGUUUGUUUUUCAUGGCUGAGCUUCCCAAUAUCUUUCAUGAGAUACCUGCUUUCAACAAUCGAUGCCAAUUCAGUAAAUGCUCUAGAUCCUUGGAAAAAAGAUAGAAAAUUUUAUGGUGCCCAUUUAUUUCAUAUGUUGACAAAUAACACCACAUUGUGGCAUUGGCUGGCAAUUGAAGUUUGUUGAUAAAGAAAGUAUCAAUUACUGUAAAUAACUAUUAUGUCUUAUACCAGAGCAUUUAGGAUUAAUUUGUACCUUUCUUCAUCCAUAAGCGAGGCUCAAGAGUACUAUGCUCACAUUUUGGAAAUAAUUCGCUAUGACCAUCAUGAAUGUUGCAAAUGUGAUUCAGCAAUGAUAGCCAUUUAGCCUUAAGUAGUUUCUCAUCACCACCACUACUUGCAGCACACCAGUAGACAUGGUUAGAUAUUGACUGUGCCCAAUCAAGUAGCAAUCUACAUCCACUCUUUUUACUGGCUGCCAUUACCUUUUUUGAUACCUGUAGAAAAAAACAGACACUGUACAUUGGUUAAAAAAUUGUAAUGCAAAACAUAGCAAUAAUUGAUCAAAAUAUCAUGAAAUUAAAUGCAAUUAGAAAAAUUCUAAAACCUCUUAAUCACUUGGUAAUUUAUGAUUAUAAAGAUACUCUUUGAUCAAAUCAGGAAGUACUUUAUUUUAAGACCCAUUGCUGUACUUUGAGCAGCUUUUGGUAGCCUUAAUUUUACCUUUUGCCACAUGCCAAACAUCAAAAUAGUGCUUCACUCCUGGCUGUUGGGUUUUCAUGUAUUUUUUAACUUGGCAAUGCCUGUCUGUGAUAAGAUGACUCACUUGAAGAUUGUGUGACUGAAUAAGUUUAAAAGAUCUUUUCAGUCCUUCCAAUUCCAUUGCCCCUGAAUUUGCAACUUCAUUUGACUGUAAUAGAUAUAUUAAUGUAAAUAAAAUCAUACAGUGUUUGGGAUAUGUAUGUCUGCAAGUAUGCAUGUAUGUUGGUGUAUAUCACAUGAUUUAGUUACACACAUUGUAUUCAUGUUGUAUAAGUACAUAUUACACAUUUCCUAAAAUGUGUUUGCAUACAAUACUGUUUUGAAUACAAUACUAUAAACUAAUGAAUUGAGCUAGUUACCUGAACUAA